rnacentral:rRNA from 1 species
GGGGAUGAGCUGUGGAUAGGGGUGAAAGGCCAAUCAAACUCUGUGAUAGCUGGUUCUCCCCGAAAUGCAUUUAGGUGCAGCGUUACGUGUUUCUUGCCGGAGGUAGAGCUACUGGAUGGCCGAUGGGCCUUCACGGGUUACUGACGUCAGCUAAACUCCGAAUGCCGGUAAGUGAGAGCGUAGCAGUGAGACAGUGGGGGAUAAGCUUCAUUGUCGAGAGGGAAACAGCCCAGACCAUCAACUAAGGCCCCUAAGCGUGUGCUAAGUGGGAAAGGAUGUGGAGUUGCUGAGACAACCAGGAGGUUGGCUUAGAAGCAGCCAUCCUUGAAAGAGUGCGUAAUAGCUCACUGGUCAAGUGAUUCUGCGCCGAUAAUGUAGCGGGGCUCAAGUACACCGCCGAAGUUGUGGCAAUGACCUUUUUUGGUUGUUGGGUAGGGGAGCGUCGUGUAGCCGGUGAAGCUGCGGUGUAAACCAGUGGUGGAGGCUAUGCGAGUGAGAAUGCAGGCAUGAGUAGCGAAAGAUGAGUGAGAAACUCAUCCGCCGGAUGAUCAAGGGUUCCAGGGUCAAGUUAAUCUGCCCUGGGUUAGUCGGGGCCUAAGGCGAGGCCGACAGGCGUAGUCGAUGGAUAACGGGUUGAUAUUCCCGUACCGGUGAAAAACCGCCCAUACUGAUAUUGUGAUGCUAACCAUGCGAAGCAUGAUGUGCAGGCUUUUGUUUGUGUGUUGUGUGGGUUGUGGGACCCGAUCUUUGGAGGUAAACGUAUUAACAGGUGUGACGCAGGAAGGUAGCCAAGCCACGCGAUGGUUGUCGUGGUCUAAGCGUGUAGGGUUGUCGGUUGUUAAAUGCGCCGGCUGUGUGCCUGAGACGUGAUGGGACCCCGUUUUUGGGGGAUUUGGUGAUCCUAUGCUGCCGAGAAAAGCAUCGGCGUGAGGUUUUAGCCGCCCGUACCCUAAACCGACACAGGUGAUCAGGUAGAGAAUACUAAGGCGAUCGAGAGAAUCAUGGUUAAGGAACUCGGCAAAAUGCCCCCGUAACUUCGGGAGAAGGGGGGCCCUGAGCGUGAUCUGCCCGUGCGGUGGGGAGCGUGUAGGGGUCGCAGAGACCAGGGGGAAGCGACUGUUUAUCAAAAACACAGGUCCGUGCGAAGUCGUAAGACGAUGUAUACGGACUGACUCCUGCCCGGUGCUGGAAGGUUAAGAGGAUUGGUUAGCCCUUUUGGGCGAAGCUGAGAAUUUAAGCCCCAGUAAACGGCGGUGGUAACUAUAACCAUCCUAAGGUAGCGAAAUUCCUUGUCGGGUAAGUUCCGACCUGCACGAAUGGAGUAACGACUUCCCUACUGUCUCAACCAUGAACUCGGCGAAAUUGCAGUACGAGUAAAGAUGCUCGUUUCGCGCAGCAGGACGGAAAGACCCCGUGACCUUUACUAUAGUUUGGUAUUGGUGUUUGGUUUGGCUUGUGUAGGAUAGGUGGGAGACUGUGAAGCAUGGACGCUAGUUUGUGUGGAGUCGUUGUUGAAAUACCACUCUGGUCAAUCUGGAUGUCUAACUUCGGGCCAUGAUCUGGUUCAGGGACAGUGCCUGAUGGGUAGUUUAACUGGGGCGGUUGCCUCCUAAAGUGUAACGGAGGCGCCCAAAGGUUCCCUCAGCCUGGUUGGCAAUCAGGUGUUGAGUGUAAGUGCACAAGGGAGCUUGACUGUGAGACUGGCAGGUCGAGCAGGGACGAAAGUCGGGACUAGUGAUCCGGCGGUACGUUGUGGAACGGCCGUCGCUCAACGGAUAAAAGGUACCUCGGGGAUAACAGGCUGAUCUUGCCCAAGAGUCCAUAUCGACGGCAUGGUUUGGCACCUCGAUGUCGGCUCGUCGCAUCCUGGGGCUGGAGUCGGUCCCAAGGGUUGGGCUGUUCGCCCAUUAAAGCGGUACGCGAGCUGGGUUCAGAACGUCGUGAGACAGUUCGGUCCCUAUCCGCUGCGCGCGUUGGAAAUUUGAGAAAGGCUGUCCUUAGUACGAGAGGACCGGGACGGACGAACCUCUGGUAUGUCAGUUGUACCGCCAGGUGCAUGGCUGAUUGGCUACGUUCGGGAGGGAUAACCGCUGA